GGUAAAAUGGCUGAUUAUAGGUAAUAAAUUGUAAAUUUAUUUAUGAAGAUUUUUCUUCUUUUAUCA
rnacentral:tRNA from 1 species